AAUAAAAAAUUUAAAAUAGAUUAAAUUAAAUUUUCAUGGAUGAAAUUGAAUAUUUUACCAUUUGUUAACGGGUACAAAGGUAAUUAAUAAGUUACAUAUUCUAAGACGAAAGCGCCUUUGCAGGCAGGCCUGAGGCUACUAUGGGACUCCUGACAACUCGUCUACCCUCAACAUCAACCCAGCUAAGAUCGCCAAAAACUACGCUUUCAUUGAGCUGUCUUGGACCUUUUAUGAUCAGUUUGUAGUUUAGCUUCUCGUUCUUGGCUUUGAACUCCAACUUUUCUGGCAUGACACGGACCUUUAACCCAAUCAUGGGCGUAACACUUGCGGUGUAAGUUGACUUUGCCUCUCCCACAUUGGUCACUGUUCUGUGAAAUUCUUGGACGGUUGUCAAACCCAAUCUUGAGGAGUUAGAGUUGAAGAAGGCCACAAAAGAAGGAUAGUUAAGGUCCAAAGACGGGAAGGAGCAAUCGUUAGAAGGUGACCUUGUGAUAGAUUGGAUUUGUUUUUGGGUGAAGUUUAAUGCGCAUAGGAGUUUCACGUAAUCAGUUGAAUUCAGGUCAUAAAUGAGCCCAGGGUCUAGUGCCUUGUUAGGAUUCACCUGACCAGCUCCCAUGUCCAAAGGAGUGGCCGGUUCGUUGUCAUUCCCAAUAUCUUUGAUAGGCCCUCGAAUGUGAUCCAUGGUAUUAGCAGUUGUCACCAUCGCCGAUCGGAUAGCCGCUGGGCUCCAUUCGGGAUGUGCCUUCCUCAAGAGUGCUGCCACACCUGCUGCAUUUGGGCUAGCCAUGGAUGUUCCGGACAGGAUAUUGAAGUUGCUGAAUAGUGGUUCAUAGUUGAUUCUCAUCACUUCAACGUUUUGAGGCCAUGCAGCUAAGAUUAAAGAACCAGGCGCCAUAAUGUCAGGCUUCAUGACAAACGGGCAACUUAGGGAUGGUCCUCUAGAGCUGUAGCUAGUGAGACUUGGAGCUGCUUUAAUACCCAGAUUUGUUUUCCGAAACUCCAUGCUUGCCUGUGGCUUGGUGCUACUCUUGAUGAAAUCCUUGAUGGUUUCCCCAUCCUUUGGAUUCACAAAUAUUGCUGGAAAUUGGCUUAGGAUAAAAUAUUCCAGGUCUCUGAAAUUUGUUAUGAAGAUACCUCCGGUGAUAUUAGCGUUCCUUAGGUUUUCAUAUUGGUCGGCUAAGGAAAAAUUCCUGUCUUGGCAGACAACAAUUUUUUGCCUAACAUUAUUCAAUUGUUCACUAAGACAUGCAUCCAAGAAAACAAUUGGAACUUGAGUAGAAGUAUAAUUCCCAGGAUAAAGAGCUAAGCCAGUGACUGAAACUCCAUUGCCAAGUGUGAAAACCGCAUCAUAUUCACGGUCUACAGUACCAGCUGCAACAGUUAGCACCCAGGGAAUUCCGUUGUGUAUUGUCUCAAAUGAAGGCCCUUGGUUUCCUGCGGAAGUUGACACAAAUAUAUUCUUUUCUAAGGCCGCAAAUGACGCCAAGGCAAUGGGGUCUUCAUACAAAGGAAUCCCGUCUAAGCCAAAUGAUAGGGAUAACACAUCAACUCCAUCAAUAAUUGCUUGAUCAAUUGCAGCAAUUAUAUCAGAAGAAGUAGCACCUUCGCCCCAAAGGGCCUUAUACACGGCUACACGGGCCCUGGGAGCCACUCCACUUGCAGUUCCUGGGGCAUAGCCAAAGAAUGAAGCACCUUUCACAAAAUUCCCAGCCGCCGUACUCGAGGUGUGGGUCCCGUGGCCGUCCGUAUCACGAGUUGAAUUCAUGGAUAUGGUGAUGUUAGGAUCCCUGGCAAUUAGACCUUUGUUAAAAAAUCGAGCUCCAAUGAGCUUCUUGUUGCAUAAUGAAGCGUUGAAGUUGGUGCCACUCUGACACUCUCCUUUCCAUCUUUUUGGAAUUCCAGAAAUUCCACUGUCACUGUAGCUCUCACUUUCCGGCCAAAUACCUGUAUCUACGAAUCCGAUAAUGACAUCUUCCCCAUAAUUCGACGCUUUCCAUGCUACAGAAUUGGAGGUGAGACCUAGAAAUGUUGGUGUACGAGUUGUGUCGAGUUUAACAGGGAGGUCUUUAAAGGAGGAAAUGUAGCCAGAAGAGUUCUUCAAGGCCUCAAGCUCAGAAGGAGAGAGAUGAGCACUAAAACCAGAGAUUGCAUGGGUAUAAGUAUAGAUAAGUUUAGAAGAGGAGUGUGAGGUAGGAGUAAUGGUGCUUCUGAUAGUAGAUACUGCAAACGCUGAAGAAAGAGUGGCCAAAUACCAGCUAUGCUGGCUAGAGAAGGCUUUGGGCAUGGCGGAUAAAUCCAUGUGAACUAUAUAAUUGUCUGUUUGUGCUAGUGUGUGGAUGAAAAGUGAGAAACCAGCAAGGAAAAGCCACCCACAAGAGAUAAUAUUGCAGUAAGUAGCCAUGGAUGAACAAGGAAGAGAAUGAAUGUUUUAGUACAAUAACCAAUAAGUGAA
rnacentral:misc_RNA from 1 species